UGGGUAACCUGCCUUAUAGUGGGGGAUAGCCUUUCGAAAGGAAGAUUAAUACCGCAUAAGAUUGUAGUAUCGCAUGAUAUAGCAAUUAAAGGAGCAAUUCGCUAUAAGAUGGACCCGCGUCGCAUUAGCUAGUUGGUGAGGUAAUGGCUCACCAAGGCGACGAUGCGUAGCCGACCUGAGAGGGUGAUCGGCCACAUUGGGACUGAGACACGGCCCAGACUCCUACGGGAAGGCAGCAUG
rnacentral:rRNA from 1 species